UCCUGGCUUAGGACGAACGCUGGCGGCGUGCCUAAUACAUGCAAGUCGAACGGUCUUUCUAUGGAAGCUUGCUUCCACUGAGAAGAUAGUGGCGAACGGGUGAGUAACACGUGGGUAACCUGCCCAUAAGAGGGGGAUAACAUCCGGAAACGGGUGCUAAUACCGCAUAGUUUUCUUGAUCGCAUGAUCGGAAAGGAAAGACGGCCUUUGUGCUGUCGCUUAUGGAUGGACCCGCGGCGUAUUAGUUAGUUGGUGAGGUAACGGCUCACCAAGACGAUGAUACGUAGCCGACCUGAGAGGGUGAUCGGCCACAUUGGGACUGAGACACGGCCCAAACUCCUACGGGAGGCAGCAGUAGGGAAUCUUCCGCAAUGGACGAAAGUCUGACGGAGCAACGCCGCGUGAGUGAAGAAAAGGUUUUCGGAUCGUAAAACUCUGUUGUCAGAGAAGAACAAGUUGGAGAGUAACUGCUCCAGCCUUGACGGUAUCUGACCAGAAAGCCACGGCUAACUACGUGCCAGCCGCUGC
rnacentral:rRNA from 1 species